rnacentral:rRNA from 1 species
CGUAGGGACCGAGCGUUAUCCGGACUCAUUGGGCGUAAAGAGCUCGUAGGCGGCUAUCCAAGUCGAACGUGAAAUCUCGGAGCUCAACUCCGAGCCUGCGUUCGAUACUGUAUGGCUAGAGUCUGGUAGGGGGAUCUGGAAUUCCUGGUGUAGCGGUGGAAUGCGCAGAUAUCAGGAGGAACACCGGUGGCGAAGGCGGGAUCCUGGGCCAGUACUGACGCUGAGGAGCGAAAGCGUGGGGAGCAAACAGGAUUAGAUACCCUGGUAGUCCACGCCGUAAACGAUGGGCGCUAGGUGUGGGAGGUCAUCGACUCCUUCCGUGCCGCAGCUAACGCAUUAAGCCGCCCCGCCUGGGGAGUACGGCCGCAAGGCUA